UGUUCUCGUACGAUCACCGACGUUAAGCAACGUCGAGCCUGUACCUAGAUGGGUGACCGCUUGGGAAUACCAAGUGCUGUAAG